rnacentral:tRNA from 1 species
AGAGAUGUGGUUCAGUGGUAGAAUGCAUGUGUUGGCAUAGAUGAAGGCCUAGGUUCAAUCCCUGGCAUUACAU